AGUAACGGCGAGUGAAGCGGCAACAGCUCAAAUUUGAAAUCUGGCCCCAGGCCCGAGUUGUAAUUUGUAGAGGAUGUUUCUGACGAGGUACCUUCCGAGUUCCCUGGAACGGGACGCCAUAGAGGGUGAGAGCCCCGUACGGUUGGUCGCCAAGUCUCUGUGAAACUCCUUCGACGAGUCGAGUAGUUUGGGAAUGCUGCUCAAAAUGGGAGGUAUACGUCUUCUAAAGCUAAAUAUAGGCCAGAGACCGAUAGCGCACAAGUAGAGUGAUCGAAAGAUGAAAAGCACUUUGAAAAGAGGGUUAAAUAGUACGUGAAAUUGUUGAAAGGGAAGCGCACAUGACCAGACUUGGCCAGGUUAAUCAUCCAUCGUUCUCGGUGGUGCACUUUGCCUGGCCAGGCCAGCAUCAGUUCGUCUUGGGGGAUAAAGGCUUUGGGAAUGUGGCUCCUCCGGGAGUGUUAUAGCCCAUUGCGUAAUACCCUGAGGUGGACUGAGGUUCGCGCAUCUGCAAGGAUGCUGGCGUAAUGGUCAUCUGCGACCCGUCUUGAAACACGGACCAAGGAGUCGUCUUCGUAUGCGAGUGUUCGGGUGUCAAACCCCUACGCGUAAUGAAAGUGAACGUAGGAGAGAGCUUCGGCGCAUCUCCGACCGAUCCUGAUGUUCU
rnacentral:rRNA from 1 species